rnacentral:rRNA from 1 species
GACGAACGCUGGCGGCGUGCCUAACACAUGCAAGUCGAGCGGGGUUGAAGCGAGAGGUAACUCGAACUUCUACCUAGCGGCGGACGGGUGAGUAACGCGUGGGCAACCUGCCUCAAGGUCUGGGAUAACAGCCCGAAAGGGCUGCUAAUACCGGGUAUGCUUGUGGCCUCGCAUGGGGCUAUGAGCAAAGGGGAAACCCGCCUUGAGAUGGGCCCGCGUCCCAUCAGCUAGUUGGUGAGGUAACAGCUCACCAAGGCGACGACGGGUAGCCGGCCUGAGAGGGUGACCGGCCACACUGGGACUGAGACACGGCCCAGACUCCUACGGGGGGCAGCAGUGGGGGAUCUUGCACAAUGGGCGAAAGCCUGAUGCAGCGACGCCGCGUGAGCGAAGAAGGCCUUCGGGUUGUAAAGCUCUGUCUGGAGGGACGAAGGGAAGUGGACGGUACCGUCCGGAGGAAGCCGACGGCUAACUACGUG